UUUGCUCUAAAUUACUUACUAUUAGCGAAGGAAUUUGACAAAGAUUUAUAUUUCUUUCUCAAAAUUCUAAUUUAAAUCAAACCCUACCCCCGUUUUAUUCCCCCAAUUUGACGUAGUGAUUUGCAAAUCUUUCCUCGACGGCGAUUUUGAUUCUCUUCUUGGCAGCGAUAGUGACGACGACUGUGAUUCCCUUCUCGGUGGCAACAGAAACUGCGCUUAUCUCUUCAGCAGUGACGGCGAUGGCUGAAGCUCGACAACAGCGUGAAUUCGGGUCUUAGCAGUAAAGAACAUUAGAACAGUUCCUCUGUCCAUCAUUGAAGAAUAACAGUUUUUGGAUGUGAUCCGCAAUGAAUCGCCCUUGAGGCACCCUAACAUCGUGACACUCCUUGAAUAUUGUACAGAAUGCCAGUUGCCGAUAUGAUGAUUAACAUAGUCUUGAAGGUCCAUCUCUGUUCUGGUGUUUUCGACGGUUUCGCAGAGUUCAUCCUUAGCUAUAGUGGUGGGGAUCCUCAGCAUUCCUGAGUAGAAGUACAUCAGGUAUGGGAUCCUGCUCACAAGGAAAUCCUAGUACUAGGGCACAAAAGGCCUAUAACAAGUGGAUAAGCGAUAUUCGAGAUGGGCGGGAUAAAACUGCACACAAGAUCAUUCCCAUUGCGGUGCUCGAUGCGUGGAAAGGGCUUGAUUAGAAAAAGCAUAUAUUCGGGUUGGGGUCGUUGGCUUCAACGUUGUUUACUGAGCGAUCGUCAUUCAGUACCAGCUGAACCUACAGACAGGGAAUGUAUAAUGAGAAUAGAUAAGGAGCAAAGGAUUCUGAAGGAACAGAAUAUGACCAUCAUGGAACAGUUGCAGAAGAUUCAGGCUCACUUAGACCUUCGUGACCUGGACGGCGAUACCGGUGCUCCCUUGGUCAUGCGAUAUAUAUUUGCUUUUAUUUUGUUUACUUUCGGCAUUUUCUGAAUUGAUGGAAUGAUUGCUUUAUUUUAUAUUAUCGUAUAUUAUUGGAGAUAGAGUUUUUUCUUAUUGCACGGUGUGUUACUAUUUAAAUUGUUGAAAUGACUUCUUAUAUUGUUAGUUUGUACUUGUUUGA